AAAGAACAACCGGGAUUGCCUCAGUAACGGCGAGUGAAGCGGCAAAAGCUCAAAUUUGAAAUCUGGCACUCUCAGUGUCCGAGUUGUAAUUUGUAGAAGUAGUUUUGGGGCUGGUCCUUGUCUAUGUUCCUUGGAACAGGACGUCAUAGAGGGUGAGAAUCCCGUGUGGCGAGGAUCCCAGUUCUUUGUAAAACGCUUUCGAAGAGUCGAGUUGUUUGGGAAUGCAGCUCUAAGUGGGUGGUAAAUUCCAUCUAAAGCUAAAUAUUGGCGAGAGACCGAUAGCGAACAAGUACAGUGAUGGAAAGAUGAAAAGAACUUUGAAAAGAGAGUGAAAAAGUACGUGAAAUUGUUGAAAGGGAAGGGCAUUUGAUCAGACAUGGUGUUUGGACGCCCUGCGCUCCUUGUGGGUGCAGGACACGCUUUUCACUGGGCCAACAUCGGUUUUGGCAGCAGGAUAAAUCGUUAGGAACGUAGCUGCCCUCGGG
rnacentral:rRNA from 1 species